GUGGGGAAUCUUGCGCAAUGGGCGAAAGCCUGACGCAGCCAUGCCGCGUGAAUGAUGAAGGUCUUAGGAUUGUAAAAUUCUUUCACCGGGGACGAUAAUGACGGUACCCGGAGAAGAAGCUCCGGCUAACUUCGUGCCAGCAGCCGCGGUAAUACGAAGGGGGCUAGCGUUGCUCGGAAUUACUGGGCGUAAAGCGCACGUAGGCGGAACAGAAAGUCAGAGGUGAAAUCCCAGGGCUCAACCUUGGAAUUGCCUUUGAUACUGGCUGUCUUGAGUUUGGGAGAGGUGAGUGGAACUCCGAGUGUAGAGGUGAAAUUCGUAGAUAUUCGGAAGAACACCAGUGGCGAAGGCGACUCACUGGCCCAAUACUGACGCUGAGGCGCGAAAGCGUGGGGAGCAAACAGGAUUAGAUACCCCAGUAGUCC
rnacentral:rRNA from 1 species